UACAGAGGGGGCAAGCGUUGUUCGGAAUUACUGGGCGUAAAGGGCGCGUAGGCGGCCUGCUAAGUCGAACGUGAAAUCCCUGGGCUCAACCCAGGAACUGCGUCCGAUACUAGUUGGCUUGAAUCCGGGAGAGGGAUGUGGAAUUCCAGGUGUAGCGGUGAAAUGCGUAGAUAUCUGGAGGAACACCGGUGGCGAAGGCGACAUCCUGGACCGGCAUUGACGCUGAGGCGCGAAAGCCAGGGGAGCGAACGGG
rnacentral:rRNA from 1 species